CACUGAUCCAGAGUCAGAUUUGGCGCCUUUCAGCUCGUGAAGAUGUGUCCGACUCUCUCCAUCAGCCGCUGGAUUUUCCUGCUCUGUCUGCCUGUCGUGAUGCUCGUCUCUGUGCAGAAAGCCCAUUCCUCAGCUCAGAGUUUGGGUUUGCCGUGCUGCCACAAGGUCAUCACCCAGGAAGUAAAGACAAUCCAAAGUUGCUUUGAACAAAAACCACGCUAUCGCUGCAGGCAACACGCCUUCCUCAUCAUCAACAAGCGGCAUAAAAAUAAGAUAUGGUGCAUUGAUCCAAAUUCUGAGUGGCUCAAAGACAAAAUAGAGAAGGUGAGUCAAAGGUGACAUCGCUCAAAGUGACUCUUCUGCAAACAAGAUUACUGGAUUGAGUUCCACUAAAGGAAACACCCGACUAAACUAAGUUGCCAAACGUCCAUCUUCCAUCAUAGUCAGCACGAUACGUUGACUACAGUGAAUUUAUCACUGGAAAAUCCCCUCCCGUCUAGUUUAGUCGCUGCGUCUUUCAGCUGCCUCAAAUCUCUCAUCUCGCGGUUGAAUGAACUCCAGCUCCAUCAUCUCAAACUGUGCCUGGUGACAGCAGACGUUCUUUUCUGGAAAUCCACUGUGAGCUACUGGUUUGGGCCGCUCUAACUAGGACCUGCAGGAGAGCUGGUGCCACUAUGCACACGAGGUUGGCGACUGUCACCAACUGUAUCCCAGGAUGGUGGAGGUGGAGUUCAACUAUGGAAUUAGGAACUAAUUCCACUGACUAAUUAACACUGACUUCACAUCCAGUGAAGUCAGUGUUUUAUAAAGAGAUAUGGGAUGAAAGGAAACCUCCUCUAAAAAUGUAGGAGGGGGAAGCCACUCAUUAGCCUUUGCUGGUGUGAAACUGAUGGACGAUAAUAUCAGACUCCCGCUGUGAAGUAACGUAGAAAGACAAAACUAUAGAUCAGCCUAACAGACAGUAAUAAUAAAAUAUUCUGUAAAAUAUUUCUAACUGUAAAUAUUUCUCUGUUUUCUUCUCCACAGGGAGAACUGAAAUGUCCUCCGGUGAUAAGUGUAUGAAGCAACAAUGAGACCACAAAAACAUCAGAGCAAAGAAGCUGAUGACAACAUUUUGUACUUAUUUAAUUGUAAUUCUUUUUGCAGAUGUAUUUAUUUAUUUAUUAUGUAAGUUAUUAUUUUAGCCUUUAAGCCAUCAACAUCAUUCCUAAUUUGUUGUAGAUGACAGUAAUAAAAGUUGUUCUUUGUGACUCUAAAUAAAUAUGGAUCAUGUUUAAAG
ensembl:lncRNA